rnacentral:rRNA from 1 species
CAUGCAAGUCGAACGAGAGAAGAGAAGCUUGCUUUUCUGAUCUAGUGGCGGACGGGUGAGUAACACGUGAGCAAUCUGCCUUUCAGAGGGGGAUACCGAUUGGAAACGAUCGUUAAUACCGCAUAAUAUAAUUGAACCGCAUGAUUUGAUUAUCAAAGAUUUAUCGCUGAAAGAUGAGCUCGCGUCUGAUUAGCUAGUUGGUAAGGUAACGGCUUACCAAGGCGACGAUCAGUAGCCGGACUGAGAGGUUGAUCGGCCACAUUGGGACUGAGACACGGCCCAGACUCCUACGGGAGGCAGCAGUGGGGAAUAUUGCACAAUGGAGGAAACUCUGAUGCAGCGAUGCCGCGUGAGGGAAGAAGGUUUUAGGAUUGUAAACCUCUGUCUUCAGGGACGAAAAAUGACGGUACCUGAGGAGGAAGCUCCGGCUAACUACGUGCCAGCAGCCGCGGUAAUACGUAGGGAGCGAGCGUUGUCCGGAAUUACUGGGUGUAAAGGGAGCGUAGGCGGGAUCGCAAGUCAGAUGUGAAAACUAUGGGCUUAACCCAUAAACUGCAUUUGAAACUGUGGUUCUUGAGUGAAGUAGAGGUAAGCGGAAUUCCUAGUGUAGCGGUGAAAUGCGUAGAUAUUAGGAGGAACAUCAGUGGCGAAGGCGGCUUACUGGGCUUUAACUGACGCUGAGGCUCGAAAGCGUGGGGAGCAACCAGGAUUAGAUACCCUGGUAGUCCACGCCGUAAACGAUGAUUACUAGGUGUGGGGGGACUGACCCCUUCCGUGCCGCAGCAAACGCAAUAAGUAAUCCACCUGGGGAGUACGACCGCAAGGUUGAAACUCAAAGGAAUUGACGGGGGCCCGCACAAGCAGUGGAGUAUGUGGAUUAAUU